UACGGAGGGUGCUAGCGUUGUUCGGAAUCACUGGGCGUAAAGGGCGUGUAGGCGGUCUGUUAAGUCUGAUGUGAAAUCCCCUCGCUCAACGAGGGAACUGCGUCGGAUACUGGCAGACUCGAGUACCGGAGAGGAAGGUGGAAUUCCCGGUGUAGCGGUGAAAUGCGUAGAUAUCCGGAGGAACACCGGUGGCGAAGGCGGCUUCCUGGACCGACACUGACGCUGAGGCGCGAAAGCUAGGGGAGCAAACGGG
rnacentral:rRNA from 1 species